rnacentral:rRNA from 1 species
UACAGAGGGGGCAAGCGUUAUUCGGAAUUCUUGGGCGUAAAGGGCGCGUAGGCGGCUUGGCAAGUGGAUGGUGAAAUCCCUCGGCUUAACCGAGGAACUGCCAUCCAGACUGCUUUGCUUGAGGCCGGGAGAGGUGAGUGGAAUUCCCAGUGUAGCGGUGAAAUGCGUAGAUAUUGGGAGGAACACCAGUGGCGAAGGCGGCUCACUGGACCGGUUCUGACGCUGAGGCGCGAAAGCGUGGGGAGCAAACGGG